rnacentral:sRNA from 1 species
UUCCAAGAAUGUGUACUUUGCACAGUUCAUCCUGCGCGGCAAGACAUCAUCACCACUGGGAGCAUAACCAUGCACAGUAGGAAGCUUGUAAAUAAAUAAACCCUUACAUUCCACAUCAAUCCAUCUGGCCCCUGACAGAAACUUAUGGCUUGUACUGUAAGGUUAAAAAUUAUCCAAGGGUGCCCAGUGAGCUUGCUCCUGGGAACUUCUGAGGAAAGGGACACCAGCCAUGAGCGCGGCAGCCUCUGUCCCCUGGAAGGACUCUUCGACCUGAAAUGAGAAAGCUUGAGGAGAAGAAAUGAUGAAGAUGAGCCUUUGUCACAGCAGCCAGCUCACCCAGAGGAAGUGGGGCUCCAUCCAUCUUUGUCUGCCGUGAGCAUGAGAAGGGUCAUAGAGGAAUCCCGGUCUCAAUUUGCAUUCUGGGCUUCCUUGGACUCACAGGAUUGCACAAAAGGCUGCCGCCUGCAUGUCCUCAGCUCCUGCACUGCUGCCAGCAGGGGCAUGAAAUCCAGCUCAUCAGAGCCUCCUCCAGUGUUGGCUACCUCCUCGUAGAUAUAAAAUUGCCAGAUAACAUCUGGAAUAUUCAGCCAAAUCCAAAUAUCAGGUAAGCAGGUUAUCAUUUUUUAGUAUAAAAUAGGUCUCAUGUAAUCUUUUGAUGUAGGCAAUGAACACAAGCUAUCAAGGAGGAUUAAAGCUAAUUUUUUUUUUAGCUAGAAUUCUGUCAUUUACUUUUCAUUUUUGGUGGUUAAAGGGGACAUAAAAUAGAUUCUAUGUUCUAUAAAAAACGUAAAAUUCAAGGUGAAUCCAAUCCAGCUUCAGAUGGCCAUCUGUAUAGAAGUUCAAUGAAGUGAACCAACCUUGGGGCUGGUCGGUUUCAGCGUGUGAAGUGUUUUAUUUGUAACUUGGUUUUACAGUAAGUCUCAUAAGUCAUAGUUCACUUGAAACCCGCGUUUAACUCAGGAGACCGCACUUUUACUGUCGAAUCUGACAUUGCUAACUGCGAGGGCCCUUGGUACAGCUGACCUGGAAAUCUGAGCAGGAAAUGACACCAGUGCCUUUGAUGCCAGGUGCCUCAGCCUCUGCACCAGAGCUGGCACAGCUUCCAGCAGUUGCUGAGGAAGCCAAGAGCUCACAGGAUGAGGGACUCAGCCGGGAGAGGCUGUCUCCUUCACUUUGGAAAAUCUUUGUUGUGAUGACUGGGCAGUUUUAUUUUCCUUUAAGGACAGAAAUGCCAGACAAUCUGUUAGAUGUGGGCCAGUUCACAAAUCUCCACCCAAUCUUAUAUUCUGAAUUUCUCACCCAGAUGUUCCUAUAUUUUCUUACAGUUCCCUCCAGUGUCAGCUACCUGGGUACAUCCUCGGGAUCCUCUGUAACGUCACCCACUGGUCACACAAGUCCUUUUUGAAACAUAGCUUUAUUUUGACUUUGGUAUCUUUUAAUUCUAUCACCUUUACUCUUGCUAAGAUAACAUGUACAUUCACUUAUCGGUGUUGAUAGGAGCUCUCUGAGGAUUUCCUCUGAAGAGAAUCAGAUAUGUGUUACAGACUGUUGAUAAGAGGAGGAGAAGAUGCAUUUGGUAGAAAUAGAAGCGCUGACUCAGGCUCGCUGUUUUCCUUGGCUAGUCUAAAACCCAUGGGUUCUGAUUGCUUCCCCUUCACUGGUUGUGCUAGCCAGGCUCAGGUCUGCAUAGAAUGGAAAAAUAGAGGGAGACAGAUUCAUGGCUUCAACAACACAAACCAUCCCCACCCCCACCCCAGACCUCGGCUUUCAUCCUGAGGGUGCUUCAUGAAGAGACCUUGUUGGGAGAACUCAGGGUCCCAGCCAACAGCCUCAGGUGAGCUCUCAAGUCCAGUGGAGGCUGUUUCAGGUUCACUUUCCAGAGCCUAACAGCGUCCUAUCUUCUGCUCUGAAAAGCCAAAGAACUAUCUACACACACAGACACACAGACACA